GGUCCUGAGGAAAGAAAAUAUCAGCUGGUCAUGAUGCUUGCUGCUCAAAAUAUGACGAUUAUUUAUACUGUACAUAGUACUGAGUUCACUGCCACUCCUGCUAGCCUGGUAAUAUUCAAGUGAGACAGAAUAUAAUAGAGACAAGUUCCAAGAUCCAGGACUGUACUUGUUCCACUUGAAAGUUUGAUGGUCAGAAAAAAAGCAUUUUAGAAUGUUGGCAACUGUCCAUCAGGAACAGAGGGUAUGAUCCAAAUGUCACUGCACCCACAGAUCCCCGGACUUCAAUGAACACCAUAGCAGACACUAAGGAUAUGAUACAAAAUCAUAUUUCUGAAACCGAAGUGGCAAAAUAAAGGACCUCUUGUCA